UACGGAGGAUCCAAGCGUUAUCCGGAUUUAUUGGGUUUAAAGGGUGCGUAGGCGGCUUAUUAAGUCAGGGGUGAAAGACGGUGGCUCAACCAUCGCAGUGCCUUUGAUACUGAUGAGCUUGAAUGAACUAGAGGUAGGCGGAAUGUGACAAGUAGCGGUGAAAUGCAUAGAUAUGUCAUAGAACACCAAUUGCGAAGGCAGCUUACUACACAACGAUUGACGCUGAGGCACGAAAGCGUGGGGAUCAAACAGG
rnacentral:rRNA from 1 species